rnacentral:tRNA from 1 species
CUCUGAGAAUUUUAACGUGUCGAACCUUCGAUAGGUAUCAAGUGUUUUUGCAAAAUUAUCAUCUCUGUGGACAAAGAUCUGACAACAAGGAUAAUGAGCUCGAAUGGAAUGAAGAGGCUGAGAAUAUUGAUCAAUAUUGAAUGUCAAGCCAGCUCGCCGCGCAGCCAGCAAACGCGAGAGCUAUAAACGCAACGACUAUGUUUUGUGCGAACAGUUGGGAUGUCCUGUUAAAGACGAAAGCGUCGAUACACUUUGACGGGUCCGUUAUUGAAAAAUGAUGAUUUGUUCCUUACCAUGGAACAGGCUAUUCAAAGCUGAUUCAGGCUCCGUCAAGGGCAUUGACUACAUGACUAAGGUGGCUAAAUAAAACCCUAACAUUCUACCACGAUGUAAACCAUAACGGAAGUCUAUCAAGAAUAGCCAAACUAUGACAUAUAUAUAUAUAUAUAUAUAUGAUUUGGCAGGUAAGUCACUUCUUUGAUAUCAAAUUAAACUAUAACUCAUUAUAGUAACAAAUGCUUCAAGGUGUGUCUCAAAUUACCGUACCAUUUUCCUCUUUUUGCUGAAUGUAGCAUUUUCCUGUCAUCCUAACCUUUAAUACAAAGUAAGGCUCUCUAUGACUGACCUAGCCGCCGAGUGUUUGUCAUGGCGGCAGAUGUGUCAGCGAUCAGCCACAAUACGUCAGUUUGAUACCACCACUGAUCAAGGGAUACUCGCUUAAUUUUGAGAACAAGACAUUUAAAUGCAUGUAAAAUGCCUGUACAUUCUUGAGUGCAGACAAAUAAAAUGGAAACCAUUACUCAUUGACAGAUAUUUUCAAUUUCUAUUGGUCGCUUUACAGGUAACAGCUUUCUGAAGACGACCGCCACGAACACUGCAUCAGAAUCUAGCGCUCAUAGACUCCCUAACUAAUUAUUUCUCAGAUCAAUUAUGUUAAAAAUGUCAAAUGUAACUCGAUAGAAGUAAAUAACUGUACAUAACUGUAAAUAAAUGAAAUACUGCUCGCUAUCAUUUUGACUUCGCAGACUUCGUUAGCAGACUUCCUUAAUGUUAUGCAACAUCAAGGGGAAAGGGCAUUCAGGAAAGGGCGAGCUGUUAGCAAAACACGCUUGUGUUGAAUACAGCCGAGUACCAAAUAGACCACCGCUUCGGAGAACCCAUAGGACGUAGGGCGCCGCUGGUGUAGUGGUAUCAUGCAAGAUUCCCAUUCUUGCGUCCCGGGUUCGAUUCCCGGGCGGCGCAUAUCUUUUCCCAAAUUCCGAUCCGCACACCCAUCAGCUCUGAAUGCACAACCUGUCGUUACGAAUCGAAAUAUUCUUUCUUAUAUGAUUGAUACGAAUUGUCCCAUAUAAAGGUGUGGUAGUGAAUGAUUGAUGAUCGAUCGAUAAUAUAAUUGCAAUAUACGAUAUAUGUCAAACAUACCUCGUAAACGCUAUUUAUUACUAAAUAAAUCCUGAAUAUCCUAUCUAAAGAGCAAGUGAGACCAAUGAGCACCUUACGAAUAAAUACUGGGAAUGGCACCUUGAGCCUAUUAAUUUCGAAUAUCCUUAUCCUAAAAUGAACAAUGAAAACACACAGAAAUACGAGCAGAUUAAGGUCCUCAAAAGCAUUGAAUC